rnacentral:rRNA from 1 species
UCGGCUGAGGGCAUGUUUGCCUCAGCGUCGGGUUAAUCUCACUCCCCUCCUCCCAUAGUGGAAGCGGGUAAGUGGACCUGGCUGUUCCAGAGCUUGAGUGCUUCAUUGCGCUUGGCAAUAGCUCUGGAUCAGCUGAAGAGUAGAGGCUAGCUCAAGGACCCGUCAAGGGCCGCAACUGGGUAGGCAGCUCACGCUUGCUAUUUCUAGUUGUUGGCUUGGGACCAUGAGCUCGGCCCUCAAACAGGAACCUCUUUUUUUUCUCGACCUGAGCUCAAGCAAGACCACCCGCUGAACUUAAGCAUAUCAAUAAGCGGAGGAAAAGAAACUAACAAGGAUUCCCUUAGUAAUGGCGAAUGAAACGGGAAUAGCCCAACUUGAAAAUCUCCCUUUGGAGAAUUGUAGUCUAGAGAAGCGCCCUCUGCGGCGGCCGGAGCCUAAGUCCGUUGGAAAACGGCGUCAGAGAGGGUGAGAACCCCGUCGGCUCUAGGCUUAGCUGCUCCACGAGGUGCUUUCCACGAGUCGGGUUGUUUGGGAAUGCAGCCCAAAAUGGGAGGUACAUCCCUUCUAAGGCUAAAUACUGGCGAGAGACCGAUAGCGAACAAGUACCGUGAGGGAAAGAUGAAAAGAACUUUGAAAAGAGAGUUAAAAAGUGCUUGAAAUUGUUGAGAGGGAAGCGUUUGGAGGUUAUAGGUGCGCCUAGGCUUAUACGAUUCUAACGAGCCGUUGUAUGUGCUAGGUGCUGGUCAACGA